UUUGCUGAGUUGGGGAACACUGGAGAGGAUCAGUUUUGGGAGUUUAAGGAAGAAUCAGGAGAUAUUGAGAGGUUGCCCUUCAUCACUCAGCAGUGAAGAAUGAAAAUCAACAGAGCUUUCCCCAGCCUGCUGCUUAAGCAGCUGCUAGCAGGCUGAGGCUGCCCAGCCUCAUUAACCCAUUAGAUGCUGCGUUCGCCCGGGAGUCAUUCUUAAUGAGGCUGCUGCAGAUGAGAAAACAGAAGCAAAGGCAGAAAGAUGCUACAUUGCCAGCUUUGAAGAUGGAGGGAAGAGGUCACAAACCAAGGAAGGCAAUGAGGACGUUGCACAAGACAGUCCCUGAUACCCAGAGUUUACUGCCUAAGAGAGGAUACAUCCUUCAAACCAAUAAUCUGCUAAUAGCAAGAUCCAAUAGCUUCAUGGAUAUUGAAAGAAACUGAGAAUCAAAUUUGCAUACUUCUGAGUCACUUGGAAACAAAAAACAAGUACAGUCUUAGAUUCUGAGGGAACAAAAAUUAAAAAUCACAUUAGGAAGAGAAUUCCUAAUGUAGGAACUCAUCCUGGAAGAUUCUUCAGCAAAAGUACAGACAAUAAUAAUAAUACUCCAUGAAGUUACCAUCGAUAUUGAAUGAAUUAAUGAAUGUAAAAACCUCAAAACCCUGCCUGGCCCAGAGCUUUGGAAUGGGUUUGGAUCUACCACUCAACUGCUUUAUGACUUCAGACCAGUUAUUUAAAUUCCCUGAAGCUCAGUUUCCACAUCUUUGAGUUUUUAUUAAUGACCUGCCGACAUCAUACAGUUCAUGAAAUGCUCUGGAUGUGUACAUGCUGAUGAUACGACCUCAGACCCAGCAAGAGCUCAGUGCAGCCCGGAGAGCUGUGAGCAGUGCCACAGGAGGAGAUGACUGGUGAGUGAAAUAAGCAAGAUAGGAGUUGAAGUGUACAUGAAGCAGAGUCCAAGCCUUCUCCUUCUGGAUGUUCAGCUGGAUCAUCCUGACUGCUCCCACUUUCAUCUUGGCUUUCAAAGGGCUAUAUGGAUGUGCUCUACUUGUUGGAGGAUUGUCCAUCCACUCUUCUUCCUGUACUUACCAGGACAGAACAGCCGCAACUUCUCAGACAGUUCAUUCUUCUUUUCCUCACCUACUACCAUCUAAGAAAGGUACUUGAUGACUGUGGCUUUAGACAAGAGUCCUUUUCUUACCACAGGGUGGGCAGCACCAGCUCAUUAGAACCAUUUGUGUGACUGACUGAAGACAGCUCACCUUGGAACACUGCAGGUUGAAGAUCAUCUCUUCUUUUUUUCAUGGUGUUAAGCAUAAUAUGGCGUAAGUGACAUUUUACAAGUUCCAGAGCCUGGGACUCAAGAUGUCUUGGAGAUUCUGUCUUUGCAGUCUUAUAAUGAUGCCCUGAGAUCAUCAUUAAAGAAAGCCAGUCUGGCCUACUGAGGAUGAGAAGCUACAUAAAGGAGAAUGAAGAUUCCCCAGCCAACAGGCAAUAUCAGUGGUCAGAUAUGUGAAUAAAGCCAUGUUGAACCUCUCGGCUAGACGACCCUCCAGCAUAUGAAACCAGCAGAUGAAUAUCCCAGCCUGCCUGAAGAACUGUACAGGAAAUAAGAAAUCAUUGUUUUUUAAGCCACUGGGUUGGUGGGUGGUUUGUUACAUUGAAAUUGUUAACUAAAACAGAAAUUGGUGCAUAGAGGUCAGGUGCUGUCAUAAUAAAAAUCUAAAACAUAUACUGUUGGCUUUGGUGAUGGGAGUGAUUGGUAGCUAAAGAGGCAGUGAAACAAUGAUUAGUAGAUACUGGGAAGUUAAUAAGGAAAUUUCUAUUGGAGGGUGGAGAAAGGGCCACCCUUGUUAUAUAGUGGCCAAAGAAUCAGCAAAAUGUUGCCUGCUGCAACCUGGAAAGUAGAAACUUUUCUUAAACUCACGGAUCUGGCUGGGAGAUUUCCAGGAUGCAUGCAACAAAUGUGAAUCAACUUUGUAUAGCUGUGUAUAAUAAAGUGUGCUGUAUUUGUCCAUUCUGAUGCUGCUAAUAAAGACAUACCUGAGACUGAAUAAUUUAUAAAGGAAA
ensembl:lncRNA LINC02955 long intergenic non-protein coding RNA 2955